rnacentral:ncRNA from 11 species
UGACCUCAAAUCAGGUAGGACUACCCGCUGA